CCCCCUGCUGGUCACUACAGAGAAGUAGAGUCAUUUCCUCAUAGACGUCUAUGGGAGCAGAGGAGUCGCCCCCUGCUGGUCACUACACAGAAUGCAGCUUUAACUCGUGACGCUUUGACUUGUCUUCUGAAGGUGGCCCCAUCGAUCAUGUCGGGUUCAUCUUCUGGAGGCUCUUUGUAUUUAAUAUUUAGUAUUAUUUACUGAUCUGUAAAAUGAUGAUUUGAUCUGUUUUGCUUUGUUCUCACUGAGGCGACGCUCCAACGUGUCACAUCCAGACGUGCAGCGCAGAUGUUUACUCAGCCUGCUGGCUUUAUUUUUAGACUGCGGCGGGGUCGGAGGUCGACUCAUGGGGGGCCCAACAUGUGUCGAGGCGGUCUGGAAAAACCGAUAGGCGAGAACGGGCCUCCGGGACCAAAGAAACACCUCUAAUGUGUUUUUAAAGUAGAACUGUUUAAUAUUCAAUCAGUCAGCGCUAACGAGCAUCAUUCAGUCUGAGUACGAUAACAGGGGGGUACCAGGUAGACUCUGGUACCCCCUCCCCGGUAAGUUGACCUCUGACCCCCCCUUACUCACUCAGAUGGGUUGUUUCCACCAAGCUGCAGCAGAUCUCCGCAGAGGAAACUUUGUGUUCUGGGAAAGCCCCGGACCCUCUGACACAUGCCCCCCCCCUCAGUAAUUGGGCCAAUUACUUUUCCAUAACAGCCCUGAAACACUUAUGUGUGUGGCUAGAAUAACAAUUUCCACAUGAAACCCUUGUUCAUUCAUAAGGGUCCGGGGGGGGGGGGUCUGCACCCGUCACAGGUCCGUAGAGACGAGCCGCUAUGACAUCAGAGGUUAAAGCUGUUCGGCUCCAUCUUCAUCACCUCCACCGCUCACUUCACGGAGUCCUCAGUUCUGACCUGUAACCAUCGCUUCAACUGCUUUCACUUUCUCUGUUUGAUCUGUUACGUGUCUCUGUAAUGAUCUUUAUUUGACACAAUGUAGAUUAUCGUCAUUAUUAGAAUAAUCAUUUUGUCAUUUUUAUAAAGUCUUCAGAUUAUUGUUCAUAUCUCUGUGGUUUGAAUCACAAAGCAGUCGGACCGAAGAGACGUUUAAAUAACUUUAUUGAUACCCUCUGUAAGGAUGACGUCGUGCUACACGCCCUGAUUUGAUUGGUUGAUGAGGCGAUAAGGAGCGCGAUGACAGCAGACGCCCCGCCCAUCCGAGGGGAGCACGUAGGGCCCAGCCACACCCGCUGACAGGGGAGGGGUCGAAGGUCAGUCUGCUCCACCCAAAACCACCCGGCUGCGCCCUCCUUCUUCUCCACCUCCUUGUAUGGAGCAUGUUCCUCCACCUCCACCCGCCAUAACUCCUCCCCCUUCCCUCCGCGGUGUGAACUGUUCACCUCAACUAAGUACUACGAGUACUACCUCACUGAUAGCUGUGUACAUGUACACUGAUAGUGGUGUACAUGUACACUGAUAGUGAUGUACAUGUACACUGAUAGUUGUGUACAUGUACUACCUCACUGAUAGCUGUGUACAUGUACACUGAUAGUGGAGAAGCUCCUCCCUGAAUCCAAACAUCUCCUCCAGAAGGGACACAUUGAAUAACUGGGACGAAGCAGCAGGACAAACACACACUUCCUGCAGGUUAACGAGCUGCACUCGACCACCUGUUGACGUUUCUGUCUUUAAACCAACAUCACGUCCGAGGUCGUCGGCGGCUACGGGAGCGAGACACGUGCAGCUCCAGUGGUCCCCAGAACAACCAGACGUGGGUCAAAACCACCAAGCAGAAGCUUCUUCUGAGCCGCUGUCACACAACUACACGGGAUCUAAAAUGUGGUGAUUCACCCGAGUGCAG
ensembl:lncRNA